ACGGCUCAGUAACACGUGGACAACCUGCCCUUAGGACGGGGAUAAACCCGGGAAACUGGGUAUAACACCCGAUAGGUCUCGAUUGCUGGAAUGCAUCGAGAUUUAAAGCUCCGGCGCCUAAGGAUGGGUCUGCGGCCUAUCAGGUAGUAGUGGGUGUAGCGUACCUACUAGCCUACGACGGGUACGGGUUGUGAGAGCAAGAGCCCGGAGAUGGAUUCUGAGACACGAAUCCAGGCCCUACGGGGUGCAGCAGGCGCGAAAACUUUACAAUGCUGGCAACAGCGAUAAGGGAACCUCGAGUGCCAGGUUACAAAUCUGGCUGUCGAGAUGCCUAAAAAGCAUUUCAUAGCAAGGGCCGGGCAAGACCGGUGCCAGCCGCCGCGGUAACACCGGCGGCUCGAGUGGUAACCGUUAUUAUUGGGUCUAAAGGGUCUGUAGCCGGCCGGAUAAGUCUCUUGAGAAAUCUGGCAGCUUAACUGUCAGGCUUUCAGGAGAUACUGUCUGGCUCGAGGCCGGGAGAGGUGAGAGGUACUUCAGGGGUAGGGGUGAAAUCUUGUAAUCCUUGAAGGACCACCAGUGGCGAAGGCGUCUCACCAGAACGGACCUGACGGCAAGGGACGAAAGCUAGGGGCACGAACCGGAUUAGAUACCCGGGUAGUCCUAGCCGUAAACGAUACUCGCUAGGUGUCGGCCACGGUGCGACCGUUGUCGGUGCCGUAGGGAAGCCGUGAAGCGAGCCACCUGGGAAGUACGGCCGCAAGGCUGAAACUUAAAGGAAUUGGCGGGGGAG
rnacentral:rRNA from 1 species